GGAGGGAGCUAGCGUUGUUCGGAAUCACUGGGCGUAAAGGGCGCGUAGGCGGCCGAGUAAGUCGUGUGUGAAAGACCGGGGCUCAACUCCGUGUACUGCAUGCGAUACUGCCCGGCUAGAGAAAGGUAGAGGCGAGUGGAAUUCCCGGUGUAGCGGUGGAAUGCGUAGAUAUCGGGAAGAACACCUGUGGCGAAGGCGGCUCGCUGGGCCUUUUCUGACGCUGAAGUGCGAAAGCGUGGGGAGCAAACAGGAUUAGAUACCCUGGUAGUCCACGCCGUAAACGAUGGGCACUAGGCGUUGGGAGGAUUGACCCUCUCAGUGCCGUAGCUAACGCGUUAAGUGCCCCCGCCUGGGGAGUACGGCCGCAAGGCUG
rnacentral:rRNA from 1 species